rnacentral:rRNA from 1 species
UGGGGAAUCUUGGACAAUGGGGGCAACCCUGAUCCAGCCAUGCCGCGUGGACGAUGAAGGCCUUAGGGUUGUAAAGUCCUUUCACCGGUGACGAUAAUGACGGUAGCCGGAGAAGAAGCCCCGGCUAACUCCGUGCCAGCAGCCGCGGUAAUACGGAGGGGGCUAGCGUUGUUCGGAAUUACUGGGCGUAAAGCGCGCGUAGGCGGGCUGUUAAGUCGGGGGUGAAAUCCCGGGGCUCAACCCCGGAACUGCCUUCGAUACUGGCAGCCUAGAGGUCGGAAGAGGUGAGUGGAAUGUCGAGUGUAGAGGUGAAAUUCGUAGAUAUUCGACGGAACACCCGUGGCGAAGGCGGCUCACUGGUCCGAUACUGACGCUGAGGUGCGAAAGCGUGGGGAGCAAACAGGAUUAGAUACCCCCGUAGUCC